AACGCACCUUGCGCUCCUUGGCAUUCCUUGGAGCAUGCCUGUUUGAGUAUCAUGAAAUUCUCAAAGUCAAUCUUUUGUUAAUUCAAUUGGUUGUACUUUGGACUUGGAGGUCUUUGCAGAUUAAUAAUCUGCUCCUCUUAAAUUUAUUAGCUGGAUCUCAGUAUAUGCUUGGUUCCACUCGGCGUGAUAAGUUAUCACUCGCUGAGGACACUGUAAAAAGUGGCCAGGAAAUACAGAUGAACUGCUUCUAAUAGUCUAUUAAAUUAGACAAUUAAUUUAAGAUCUGAUCUCAAAUCAGGUAGGACUACCCGCUGAACUUAA
rnacentral:misc_RNA from 1 species